AUUGAGACCACAGACACUACAUCCUUGCUUGACCUUUCUGAAAGAAUCGUAGCAUGUGGGUGCACAGGACCCCUAACAUGUGAUGAAAGGAAGACAUUGUCAGCAAAUGUGCAGAGGAUUGGAAAUCUAUGGCCUCCAUGAAAUGGUGAAACAAAAUCAGCCUUUAUUUCAGCCGUUAUUUGUUCCUGCUCACUUUACAAAACCUGAUGCAGAUUUUCUCAUGAUGGCUCUGUCACCCGUUUUAAGUGCGGUGGGUUCAGUGAAGCAGCAGAGGGAAUCACGGAUUGUGAACUACUUGCAGGACUUCAUUCAAAGCCUUGAAGAUGAAGAGAAGAAGGGAGCAGCAGUAAGGAGAGCAGGGUUGAAGAUGACAGCGAACAGGUGGAUAAAACAAACUGCACUAAAGGAGAUGCAGAACAAGACAAGAUCACCGUCAGCAGUUUCAUGCAGUGGAUUACUGGUCAGGGGCAUGUCCCCAUUACUUCUGCACAAAGAGAAAAAAUUAAUUUGAUCCUGACUGUCAGCUUCGAUAUGGUCAGUAUAGUUUAUGCUUGCCUCUAGUAAAUGCAUGUUCCUGUACUGUAACCUACACAGCACCUAGAGACAAACACAGAGUUCCUCAGCAUUAUGAGGCAGGCUGAGAGCAAUAGCAGAGACUUUGGUCGUUCGUGAAAUUGAUUCUUACUAUAGUUUAAUCACUAUACUGUGUACCCUCUGUUAUGUUGUUAAUAAUGGAUUCUUAAUAAAGAAUAGGAGUCCAGUAGCUUUUGGAUAUUU
ensembl:lncRNA